CCCGUGCGCUCGUCUGGGCCCUUACAUGGUGCACAGCUCGUCCGUUCGGCCCUGUAGCUCUUGCAGGCCCCGCGCGGCCUGAGCCUGCUCGCGCUGCGCCCGCUCCCACUGGCCCAGGAAGCCGUCGAGCCUGCCGCCCAGGCCCCCGAGCAGCCGUAGGGCCUCCUGCACGGCCCCCUCCUCCUGAUGCCACCGGGCGGUCAGUGAGGACACCUCCCUCCUGUAGGCGUAGAGGGAGGGAUGCCCCAUUCGAAGCCCAGCUGGAGUCCAACUCACCUUGGACUGAAUGCCUGCCUCUGUGUCUCCAUCUAGCCCUCCACCCUCACUCUAAUCCUCGAAGCAUCUUCCACCGACCGGCUCACCUUCCAGCAGUUCUCCUGGGUCAGGACACCAGGACGGGGGCCCUGUCUUCCCAUUCCAGUUCCGCCUCCCAACCGUUACCCUGGCUAUUUUCCAUACAGCUUCCACCCCGCCGCGUUUAAGGCACGCCCCCUCCUUCCGUAAGCUGGUGAUGGAAUCUUUGGCGUGGACCAAUCCACUGUUAACCCAACUCUGGGGAAGAACGGGAGACAGGGGACACGGGUUCGAGCCCUGGUCUGGGAAGAUCCCACAUGCUGCGGAGCAACUGGGCCCGUGAGCCACAACUACUGAGCCUGCGCGUCUGGAGCUUGUGCUCCGCAACAAAAGAGGCCGCGACAGUGAGAGGCCCGCGCACCGCGAUGAGGAGUGGCCCCUGCUCGCCGCAACUAGAGAAAGCCCUCGCACAGAAAUGAAGACCCAACACA